ACUGAACGCUGGCGGCAGGCUUAACACGUGCAAGUCGAGCGGGGGAAGGUAGCUUGCUACCGGACCUAGCGGCGGACGGGUGAGUAAUGCUUAGGAAUCUGCCUAUUAGUGGGGGACAACAUCUCGAAAGGGAUGCUAAUACCGCAUACGUCCUACGGGAGAAAGCAGGGGAUCUUUGGACCUUGCGCUAAUAGAUGAGCCUAAGUCGGAUUAGCUAGUUGGUGGGGUAAAGGCCUACCAAGGCGACGAUCUGUAGCGGGUCUGAGAGGAUGAUGCGCCAACAUGGGGAUGAGAAACGGGCCAGACUCCUACGGGAGGCAGCAGUGGGGAAUAUUGGACAAUGGGGGGAACCCUGAUCCAGCCAUGCCGCGUGUGUGAAGAAGGCCUUAUGGUUGUAAAGCACUUUAAGCGAGGAGGAGGCUACUUUAGUUAAUACCUAGAGAUAGUGGACGUUACUCGCAGAAUAAGCACCGGCUAACUCUGUGCCAGCCGCCGCAGUAA
rnacentral:rRNA from 1 species